CACGUAGGGUGCGAGCGUUGUCCGGAAUUAUUGGGCGUAAAGAGCUCGUAGGCGGUGUGUCACGUCGGCCGUGAAAACCUGCAGCUUAACUGUGGGCGUGCGGUCGAUACGGGCAUCACUGGAGUUCGGCAGGGGAGACUGGAAUUUACGGUGUAGCGGUGAAAUGCGUAGAUAUCGUAAGGAAGACCAGUGGCGAAGGCGGGUCUCUGGACAGUUCCUGACGCUGAGGCACGAAGGUCAGGGGAGCAAACGGGG
rnacentral:rRNA from 1 species